GGGCCUUUAGCUCAGUUGGUUAGAGCGAUCCGCUCAUAACGGAUUGGUCGGGGGUUCAAGUCCCUCCGAGCCCACCA
rnacentral:tRNA from 1 species